ACCGCCAAUCCCACUAAAAGCAAUCUCCUGCGUGGAUACAUUUCGCAUUCACUGUUUUAUUAACCUUUUAUUCAAUUUUCACAUAUGUUCAAAAAGGUAAACAAAGCCAAACGGCUUCCUAAGAACUGAAAAGUGUAGCCGUACGGAAAGCGGUUUUCUCCUUUGGUCACACUCUGCCGCUAGAAAAAUAUAUUGCACUGUUUGCUAGCAAACGUGUUUUUCGAUCUGAGUACUAGGCUUUAAAUUUAAUUUGGAAACAUUCCAAUAAAAGGAAGUCUUGAUUAUCAGUAAAUUUUGUGGAGAAUUUUAUAAUGAGAAUCCUGAGAAUCCUAACUAGCUAGGAAUAUUAAUUAUAAUAGCAAAAUCGAGGAAUACGACUUAAGAUUGCUUAAAUUGCUUAAAUAAACUUGCAUUCAACUGCUUAAAAAAAAUUGUAAAGGAUCUUUUAUCAUAAUUAAUAAUUAAUAUAAAUUUUUGUAAAAUACAUACGACGUACAUAUGUACAUAUGUAUGUACAUACAAUUAUGGGUUUAAAUUCGUAUGGGAAAUGCGAAAUUCCACUUUAGUCUAACGAGCUUUCGUGCACAUUUGUAGAAGUCUAGCUCUUUAAAGUCUUUAAAGUUCGAAUAAUAUUUCAGAUCUUGAUUUUGCGGUCAGAUUUUUGAUCAUGAGGGACGAACUUAAAAUUUAUGCAAUAGUGCAUUGUCCGAUAUGCCUCUAAGAAGAAUUAACCAACGAAUGCCCCUUUUUUGUGUCUUUGCAGAAGAGGAUAACUCUUCCGCCUCCACAAGAGCUACAAUCAUAAACACCCAGCUGCUCGUAAACAAAGAUAUGUAUGUAAAUACGUGUGUAAAUGCGUGUGCAUAUGUAAGUGUAUGAAUUUAAUGUAUAGUAAAUUAUUAAUCUUUCUAAUAUAAUUAUAUAUUCAGUAUUUAGCGUUCUGGCUAGCUAGUAAUAAAAACAGAAACUCAAAAUCGAGGAAUAUAACUUCCGAUCAACAGAAAAUGUUCAACCUAUUUGUUUAUUCGUUAUUUUCUAAAAAAUCUAAUAAACCAGAGACCAGUUCUGAAAGUUAACCAACUAUAUAGAAAACUGAUUCAACAGUUGGAUAUAAUUUUCAUAUUCAUGGCUGAAGCCGGCUGGUCGGCAAUCCGGGUGAGUGACGCAUGUAUUGAUGUGUUGCCGCUUACACAUCGAUGACCCGUAGGGGUAUAUAUGUACAUAUCAAAAAUAGGUACGAAAUGGGUCAAUGCUGAUCCUAUGCGGACCUCCGAAACAAAAGCAAAACCUCUAGCAACAGAUUCGCACUUAUUCGUGUGAAGUCAAGACAAGUGCGGUUUCGAGCGAUACAAAAUAACAAUGCAUUCAUUUGCAUUUAUUCUUGUGUCUUACACGUACACAGACUCUUGCAUAAGCUGCCUGGGGUACACUUACCGCAGACUCAGCGGUGACGUUUCGCUUAUAUGACAAAUCGGACCCAUCUAUGUACAUAUAUUUUAUAUGGUUAAUAAUCUAGUGUUCAUAAAAUUAGUAAUGCCAGCACAAUUAAGAAAUUUUGCGGUCAAGUUCUUUAGUCAGAUAUAAUGGGCCUAUUUAUUAUUAUAGUCUUUAAAGUUUGAAUAAUAUUUCAGAUCUUGAUUUUGCGGUCAGAUUUUUUAUCAUGAGGGACGAACUUAAAAAUAAU
rnacentral:lncRNA from 1 species